rnacentral:rRNA from 1 species
CCUACGGGUGGCAGCAGUGGGGAAUAUUGCACAAUGGGCGAAAGCCUGAUGCAGCAACGCCGCGUGAAGGAAGAAGGUCUUCGGAUCGUAAACUUCUGUCCUUGGGGAAGAGAAUGACGGUACCCUGGGAGGAAGCCCCGGCUAACUACGUGCCAGCAGCCGCGGUAAUACGUAGGGGGCAAGCGUGAUCCGGAAUUAUUGGGCGUACAGAGUGCGUAGGUGGGUACGUAAGCGCGGGGUUUAAGGCAAUGGCUCAACCCUUGUUCGCCCUGCGAACUGGGUUACUUGAGUGCAGGAGAGGCAAGCGGACUUCCUAGUGUAGCGGUGCACUGCGUAGAUAUUAGGAGGCACCCCCGUUGCGAAGGCGGCUUUCUGGACUGUUACUGACACUGAGGCACGAAAGUGUGGGGAGCAAACAGGAUUAGAUACCCUUGUAGUC